UACGGAGGGUGCAAGCAUUAAUCGGAAUUAUUGGGCGUAAAGGGCGCGUAGGCGGUAAAGUGUGUCAAAUGUGAAAUUCCAAGGCUCAACCUUGGCGCUGCAUUUGAAACUACUUUUCUGGAGGGUAGGCGGAGAAAACGGAAUUCCACAUGUAGCGGUGAAAUGCGUAGAUAUGUGGAAGAACAUCGGUGGCGAAGGCGGUUUUCUAGCUUAUUCCUGACGCUGAGGCGCGAAAGCAAGGGGAGCAAACAGG
rnacentral:rRNA from 1 species